rnacentral:rRNA from 1 species
GUGCAGCAGUCGCGAAACCUCCGCAAUGCGCGAAAGCGCGACGGGGCCACCCCGAGUGCCGCCCGCUGAGGGUGGCUUUUCCCCGGUGUAGACAGCCGGGGGAAUAAGGAGAGGGCAAGUCUGGUGUCAGCCGCCGCGGUAAUACCAGCUCUCCGAGUGGUGGGGACGAUUAUUGGGCCUAAAGCGUCCGUAGCCGGCCCAGCAAGUCCUCCGUUAAAUCCAGCGAUCCAAUCGCUGGACUGCGGGGGAUACUGCUGGGGCUAGGGGGCGGGAGAGGCCGGCGGUAUUCCCGGGGUAGGGGUGAAAUCCUAUAAUCCCGGGAGGACCACCAGUGGCGAAGGCUGCCGGCUGGAACGCGCCCGACGGUGAGGGACGAAAGCCGGGGGAGCGAACCGGAUUAGAUACCCGCGUAGU